rnacentral:rRNA from 1 species
AUGGCAAGAAAGUUCUUAACCAUACCAGCAACUAGUGUCUCUUCGCAGUCAACAUUCUCUACAGGAGGCAGAGUUCUCGAUGACUACCGUAGUUCUUUGCACCCAAAAAUGGUUGAGGCACUUGUUUGUGCUACGAGCUUCAUAAAAGGAGCAAAAAAUAACAACAUUAAUCCCGUGCAUCAGGCUGCGAGGCUCUCAGGCUUCAAGCUUAGGAAGCGGAGAGACUAUGCCGUGGUGGACCAGUAA